UUAGGGAGACCUAAUCCACUCAGACAUCGAAAACAAAAAGUAAAUAGAUGCUGAGAUGGUCAUUCCUAGGUCGGUAGCCAGUGGAUGCUAAAGCUUUCAAACUAUAGGUUGGGUUCGGAUAUGGGCUAUUAGCUCAGGUGGUUAGAGCGCACCCCUGAUAAGGGUGAGGUCCCUGGUUCGAGUCCAGGAUGGCCCACCUGAAGAUAAUUAGUGGGGGUUUAGCUCAGUUGGUAGAGCGCCUGCUUUGCAAGCAGGAUGUCAGCGGUUCGAGUCCGCUAAUCUCCACCUUGUGUAAAAAUCACGAAGCAAAGGUAUCGUAGAUUGUCGGAAAGGGCAAGAAAUAGAUAGGGUGGUUUGGUGAUGAGUAGCACCGUGGGCUCAGAUAGAAAAAUGGUAAAUUAAUUCAGCAACAUGGCAAAAAGCCAGACUGCUGGAGGAAUAUCCAGCCAGAACCUUGAAAACUGCAUAGUAACGCGAAAAAAGCAGGCAGACACAGACAUGAAAAUGAAAGUGUAUGCGAUGUAAAAG
rnacentral:tRNA from 1 species